UAGACAGAGAGAGAGAAAAUAGAGUGAGUCAUUUUCUCACAAGGAAGCAAGAGCUUUGGGAAAAGUAAAGAAAGAAGCUGGUACAUCAUGACCUCAAAGCACUGCUGAGGAUUUUUAUAAAAAAAGAAAAAAAAAAAAAGGAAAAAUCAAGUUUGCACCAAAUCAAGAAUGCAAAGAAAAAACCUAGAGUGCAGGUAUUAUAAACAUUUUUUAGUAUCCCCAGGUAAACUAAGUGAAAGUAAAUUCAGGUUGAUGAAAGAGUGAAACUGCAAACAAGAAUCAGUGAAAAGAAAAAAUACCCCUUGACAGGCGAGAUUCUGAAUGUAUAGAAAAUGAAUAAAACUAAUUCAUUUGAACCCGAAUAUAGCUUGUUCUAUAAUCCAGGUAAUGAAUUAUUCUAUAUUUGGUUGCCUUAAUAGUAGGGCUGUAACGAUCCCUGGAAUGAUUCGAGUACCUCAAUCGUUAAAAUUCCUUGAGGAAAAUGUAUCAUCCUCGAAGCUUUGUAAAAUUAUGUUUUAUUAUUUAGCUAAUCAUUAUUUGUGUGGGGCAUCGCGCUCACUUCCGCCUACGAGUUGUUGUUCAGUGCCAGCAGCAUAACGGCAAAGAGAGACAGAGAGAGAGAUCUGAUUACUCGAUUAAUCGUAAAGAUAAUCGAUAGAGUACUAAAGUAUCCUUUUACAACAGCCCUACUUAAUAGCAGAUAUAUAGAAUACAGAGAGGAUCGUCACAGCUGACCAUCCUUGACUUGUACAGGUCUUAGGUCAGGAAAAGGGCAACUAACAUCUCUGCAGACACCACACAUCCUGGACACAAACUGUUUUGACAUGCAUGCUACUAUUUGCUAUUUACUAAUGUUUGCAAAAACCAACCACCGCAGUGACAGUUUUUUUCUUUGACCAAGUGUUUCUCUAAUGAACACAUUAGAGAAUUCGUUAAAAUCCUAAUUAAUUGGGUUAAACUGAAACCCUAAGCCAGUAAUGUUAAGUAAACCAAAGCCCAGAAUGUUACAUGUUUGACUGAGUAACCAAGACAAAAAACAAAUGGGUUUGAGUUUGUUUUUAACCCAACAGAUUCAAAAAGCUGGCAGAUGCUGAACCAAAGACGACCACCGAGUCUUUAACUUUAACCUAAAACUGCCUCCAGGCUCCUCUCUCAUGUCAUCUCCACAACAAUUACACGUAAAUAAAUUUGUUCCCAGCAGGCUGUGGUGUUGCAGACUCAGACUCUGGCGCACAAACAAACGCUCCCAACCGAAACGCUUCGGCGCAGAAUCGGGCGAGUCGGGAAAUGGUUUCGGAGAGGCAGGGAGGAAGCCAGAGAGCGAGGAAUGUGACACCAGUGCUGACUGAUUGAAUUAGAAAUAGAUCUUCACUUCCCCGUGUAAUUGAUAUGCAGCAGCGACGCGGCGCGCCAUGUGUGGCGCGGCGCGCAGGGGAGGCCCGGCUGCGUGAUGCAAUUGUAUCUGCGCGUCGCCGUGGGACCGAGUCGGCUUUUGUCUUCUGCGACGAGCACCUGCUCUCCUCACUCGGACAGAAACGUGAAGUUGGGCAACUUUCUCCGAGCUAAGAUACACACGUGUGCUGUGAAGCUCAGCUUCUGCUGGUUUCACCGGCUGAUGGAGCGGCUGACACACGGCUGAACCCGGAGAGCCGACGCUGCUGGACGGAGACGAAGGGGGAGCCGAUGCAGGAGCAGCAAAGGAACGUCCAUCACUCGCAGAGGGAGCGAAGGGCAUAGAGGACAGAUCCGUAUCUCGAGCCGUCAUUUUGUGAAAGGUCACAGCCAGUUCGACAGUCCAUCACGGGGCAACACAGAGGCCCAAACAACAACUCACUCACACCCAACAGCUAACUAAACCUGGAUCAACAGGUCUGAGAAACAGACCACAGCUAUAGAGACUCUAACCAGGUGGUCAUCAGAACAGGAGCACCACAGGGCACUGUACUCUCACCAUUCCUUUCCACUUUGUACGCUCUCCUGUUCCCUGUUCUGUUUCCAUCGUGGGGAAAGAAGUGGAGGUGGUUGAAGAAUAGAAAUACCUCGGUGUUCACCUGGACUACAGGUGAGCAUGUCUUCUAGAAGCAGGUUGUUGAGAGUGUGAUCUUUUCUGUUUCCGUCUAUUUAGGUAGUAGCAUCAGAGCCUGGGACUGAAGAAGGUGAUAAAGAAGGUUGGAGCAACUCUGGAACAUCUUAUUGUGCAAAGAAGGAUUCUUCAUAAAAAUCUUUCAGAAAAUGACAAACUUCACGAGACUGUUAUGCAACAAGUGUCUUCAGCCAGAGGACUGCUUAAAAGUGCAGCGUUACUGACGCCUACAGGAGAUCCAUCCUGCCCACAUCUGCCGUCAGCAUCUACAACAACUCUCUGAAGAAACUUGGAUAGUUUGAAUUACUACAACAAUUUGAUUUCCUUUUGAGUUUAUAAAGUAUUUUCAGUUGAAUUUGAGUUGGAUUAUUUGGAGAAAUGUAUAAUCUGUCCCUUUCAAUUGUAUUCAUACGUAUGUUAAAUUUAGAGAAAAGUGUAAUGUUCCCCUACCUUUGGUACAGAUUCAUUAGGCAUUAGCGUUUCAUCUGAGGACAGACGCUGUGGGAUUUUUAGACAAGCUCAUCAAACAGUAAAAAUCUCAUGCCGGCCUUUUGUCGGCUUGUAUUUUUCAUUUCGUCUUUCAUUUAAUACAAAAUUGACCGUAACUAUUAAAAGUGUUUGGCUCUCUCACCGUAAAAAAACAACUCAGAGCUUUAUUUGACACAGCCUAAUUAAUUUGAUGUAACACAAAAGUACAGACGGUCCAACAACAGUCAGCCAGUCAACCUGCGUUCAACACAGAUUCCUCCUUCGCUCUGCAUUCAGCUCAAACUUUUACAGUCUGCAUAAACAUCACAGCUUCUCAUGGCAUGUCAUUUAUCACAGGAGCUACACACACACACACGCACACACACCCACACACACACACCAGCACAGUACAGUUAGUGCAAGGACACUCUGACAGCGUGCUGUAAUACGCUAAUGGAUACAAAACUCUCACUGCCAGUUCUUGUUCCUCAUUUGUCAUAAAGUUAGAAACACAAUUACACAUGCACAGGCAUUUGAGUACAUUAAAAGUAAUCUCGGCUUGGCUGUUUUUUAAGUUUUUUUAAAGGAAGUGCGUAAGAAGCAGCUGGAUCUGUCAAUGUAUCCCGAAUCCGAUCAACUUUCACCUGCCUUUCAUCAUCCUUGUGUUUCAAGUUUUUGUCGUCUUCAUAUAUUGUUUUAGGGGAAAAGUUAUUUUUUCUAGUCUUCCAUUAUCACUCCUUUUGUUAAAUUGUCUCAAGAAGAAACUGAAGUAAGUUUCCUUAAAUUUUCUGGUGAGUCCUUUAGAUUGUGGUACUUCAAUCAGCCAAGACACCAAGCAAAGGUUACAGCUGGUUCUUAAAGGAUUCGCCUGAGGGUGCACACACAUUAACCAGUACUUUGAUAAAGCUCCUUUUGAUUUAAUUUCA